GACAGAGGGUGCAAACGUUGUUCGGAAUUACUGGGCGUAAAGCGCGUGUAGGCGGCUAAGUAAGUCGGGCGUGAAAUCCCACGGCUCAACCGUGGAAGUGCACUCGAAACUGCAUAGCUAGAGUCCUGGAGAGGAAGGUGGAAUGCUUGGUGUAGAGGUGAAAUUCGUAGAUAUUAGGAAGAACACCAGUGGCGAAGGCGGCUCACUGGUCCGGUACUGACGCUGAGGUGCGAAAGCGUGGGGAGCAAACAGG
rnacentral:rRNA from 1 species